rnacentral:ribozyme from 1 species
AAAGAAGAAAAGAAAGAAGAAAAGAAAGAAGUAAAAGAAAAAGAAAAAGAAAUUGAAAGUCUCGUUUCCAAGAACCCUUUUGAGGUUGAUGGUUUUCAUUGUGUGCUUGUCUGUCAAAUUAUUGAGUGUUA